rnacentral:tRNA from 1 species
GCCUGGGUGGCUCAGUGGUUGAGCAUCUGCCUUUGGCUCAGGUUGUGACCCCGGGUUCCAGGAUCAAGUCCUGCAUCAGGCU